CCAGUCGCGUAAAACUCUCCUCCAAACUCCAAGUGCGUGCAGCUACUCUCCAGUUCCAGUUCUAGAGUACAGCCCUCCGCAAUCUGAAGUUUCGGCCUAUUUUCUCCGUCGAUAGCGGUUUCUCAGGCGUUUCAGUUCAAGUCUUCUGACGUGCCAAUAGAAGAUUCCAGCGAUCGAGAGUUCUACGGCAAGAAGUUUGACGACGACGGCGAUGUGGAUGACAGAAAUAUAUUUCAGGGUUUCUGAAUUGGGGGUUUCGUUGGGCAACCAUACAUUUGAAGAGAGUUAGUUUAUUCAUAUUUCAGGUGUUUCAAAUUGUUAUGUAUUCAAGAGUCGAUUACAGGAAUACGCUCA